rnacentral:rRNA from 1 species
GAAUUUUCCGCAAUGGGCGAAAGCCUGACGGAGCAAUACCGCGUGAGGGAAGACGGCCUAUGGGUUGUAAACCUCUUUUCUCGGGGAGGAACUCAAUGACGUGUACCUGAGGAAUAAGCAUCGGCUAACUCCGUGCCAGCAGCCGCGGUAAGACGGAGGAUGCAAGUGUUAUCCGGAAUCACUGGGCGUAAAGCGUCUGUAGGUGGUUUAGUAAGUCAACUGUUAAAUCUUGAGGCUCAACUUCAAAAUCGCAGUCGAAACUAUUAGACUAGAGUAUAGUAGGGGUAAAGGGAAUUUCCAGUGGAGCGGUGAAAUGCGUAGAUAUUGGAAAGAACACCGAUGGCGAAGGCACUUUACUGGGCUAUUACUAACACUCAGAGACGAAAGCUAGGGUAGCAAAUGGGAUUAGAUACCCCAGUAGUC